rnacentral:tRNA from 1 species
AGAUUUAUAGUUAAAAUAUAACAGUUAUAUUGCAAAUAAAAAUUAUUAUCCUUAAUUAAAUCUA